GGACUACAAGGGUAUCUAAUCCCGUUUGCUCCCCUGGCCUUCGUGCAUGAGCGUCAGGAACUGCCCAGAGAGUCGCCUUCGCAACUGGUCUUCCUCACGAUAUCUACGCAUUUCACUGCUACACCGUGAAUUCCACUCUCCUCUACAGUCCUCGAGCAUGGCAGUAUUGAGUGCAGUUCCGGGGUUAAGCCCCGGGAUUUCACACUCAACUUACCACGCCGCCUGCGCACCCUUUACGCCCAAUGAAUCCGAACAACGCUUGAGACCUCUGUAUUACCGCGGCUGCUGGCAC
rnacentral:rRNA from 1 species